rnacentral:rRNA from 1 species
AUUGAACGCUGGCGGCAUGCUUUACACAUGCAAGUCGAACGGUAACAGGGAGCUUGCUCCGCUGACGAGUGGCGAACGGGUGAGUAAUGCGUCGGAACGUGCCGAGUAGUGGGGGAUGACGCAGCGAAAGUUGUGCUAAUACCGCAUACGUACUGAGGUAGAAAGUGGGGGACCUUCGGGCCUCACGCUAUUCGAGCGGCCGACGUCUGAUUAGCUAGUAGGUGAGGUAAAGGCUCACCUAGGCGACGAUCAGUAGCGGGUCUGAGAGGAUGAUCGGCCACACUGGGACUGAGACACGGCCCAGACUCCUACGGGAGGCAGCAGUGGGGAAUUUGGGACAAUGGGCGAAAGCCUGAUCCAGCCAUGCCGCGUGUCUGAAGAAGGCCUUCGGGUUGUAAAGGACUUUUGUCGGGGAGGAAAUCCCCAGCGUUAAUACCGCUGGGGGAUGACAGUACCUGAAGAAUAAGCACCGGCUAACUACGUGCCAGCCGCCGCAGUAACAC